GCGCACCGACCAAUGGCAGCGAGCUUUACUGGGCGGGUAGCCAGCUGUACCCGCGGCCAAUAGGCGAGAGACUUCUUGUUUCCUGGCAGAGCGGGGUCCCGGCACCGCGGCGCUCGGGUUUUGUUUGGGUCCUGGGUGGAGGGCCUCGGUGCCGGGGCCCGAGGUGGCGCCUCGCUAGCGGGAGAGGAGAGGGAGCGGGAUCACCGGCCCAGAGAGAGCUCUCAGGGCCCGAGUGGAGCAGGAGGAUGCUUUCCCAGCCCCACCAUGGAGCUGCGCUGUGGGGGACUGCUGUUCAGCUCUCGAUUUGACUCAGGAAACCUAGCCCAUGUGGAGAAAGUGGAAUCUGUGUGUAGUGAUGGGGAAGGAGUAGCAGGGGGCGCAUUAGCCCCCACCAGCGGCACUGCCUCUGCCCCUGACUAUGAGUUCAACGUGUGGACCCGACCAGACUGUGCUGAAACAGAAUUUGAGAAUGGGAACAGGUCAUGGUUUUACUUCAGUGUCCGGGGAGGAUCUCCUGGGAAACUCAUCAAGAUCAAUAUUAUGAACAUGAACAAGCAAAGCAAGCUGUAUUCCCAGGGCAUGGCCCCCUUUGUGCGUACACUGCCCACCCGGCCACGCUGGGAACGCAUUCGAGACCGGCCCACCUUUGAGAUGACAGAAACGCAGUUUGUGUUAUCCUUUGUUCACCGUUUCGUGGAGGGCCGUGGGGCCACCACCUUCUUCGCCUUCUGCUACCCCUUCUCCUACAGUGACUGCCAGGAUUUGCUAAACCAGCUAGACCAGCGCUUUCUGGAGAACCACCCUACCCAUAGCAGCCCUCUGGAUACCAUCUAUUACCACCGAGAAAUCCUUUGCUAUUCUCUGGAUGGACUUCGUGUAGAUCUGCUAACAAUCAGUUCCUGCCAUGGGCUUCAAGAAGAUCGAGAGCCCCGUCUAGAGCAACUAUUUCCUGAUAUCAGCACCCCCAGACCAUUCCGUUUCACAGGCAAGAAGAUAUUCUUCUUAAGCAGUAGGGUACACCCCGGAGAGACUCCAUCUAGCUUUGUCUUCAAUGGCUUUUUGGACUUCAUCCUUCGACCUGAUGAUCCCCGGGCCCAAACCCUACGUCGCCUCUUUGUUUUUAAGCUGAUUCCCAUGUUAAACCCUGAUGGUGUGGUCCGGGGCCACUACCGCACAGACUCACGUGGAGUGAAUCUAAACCGUCAGUACCUGAAGCCUGAUGCAAUCCUGCACCCGGCCAUCUACGGGGCUAAAGCUGUGCUCCUCUACCACCAUGUGCACUCCCGUCUGAACUCCCAGAGUCCCUCUACGCAACAGCACAGUCCUCAUCUCCGUCCUGAUGCCCCCCUUUCUGACCUUGAGAAAACCAACAAUCUCCAAAAUGAAGCUCACCUUGGGCACUCAUCUGAUGAGGAUAAUCCUGAGGGCUGGCCACAGACUGAGCCAGCAGAAAAGAAGGCCAGCAGUGUGUGGAUUAUGCCCGAACAGUCCACUGAGGUUGAACAGCCAGCCCCUGACACCAUCCCCCCCAAAGAGAGUGGUGUUGCUUACUAUGUGGACCUGCACGGACAUGCUUCCAAAAGGGGCUGCUUCAUGUAUGGAAACAGCUUUAGUGAUGAGAGCACCCAGGUGGAAAAUAUGCUGUAUCCAAAGCUCAUCUCCUUGAACUCAGCACACUUCGACUUCCAGGGCUGCAAUUUCUCAGAGAAGAACAUGUAUGCCCGAGACCGCAGAGAUGGCCAGUCUAAGGAGGGAAGCGGCCGGGUUGCAAUCUACAAAGCCUCAGGGAUAAUCCACAGCUACACACUUGAAUGCAACUACAACACUGGACGCUCAGUAAACAGCAUCCCUGCCGCCUGCCAUGACAACGGGCGUGCCAGCCCCCCUCCCCCGCCGGCUUUCCCCUCCAGAUACACUGUGGAAUUGUUUGAGCAGGUGGGACGAGCUAUGGCCAUUGCAGCUCUGGACAUGGCAGAAUGCAAUCCAUGGCCCCGAAUCGUGCUGUCAGAGCACAGCAGCCUCACGAACCUCCGGGCCUGGAUGCUAAAACAUGUGCGUAGCAUUCGAGGCCCGAGCAGCACUCUGAACAUGGGUGUCAACAAGAAGAGAGGCUCUCGAACUCCACCCAAAACUAACAAUGGAUUGCCUGUUUCCUGCUCUGAAAAUACCUUGAGUCGAGCGCGAAGUUUUAGCACUGGCACAAGUGCUGGCGGUAGCAGCAGCAGCCAACAAAACUCUCCACAGAUGAAGAACUCCCCCAGCUUUCCUUUUCAUGGCAGUCGGUGUGCAGGGCUGCCAGGCCUGGGCUCUAGCACCCAAAAGGUCAGCCACCGGGUGCUGGGCCCCAUGAGAGAGCCCCGAAGCCAGGACAGGAGACGGCGACAGCAGCCACUCACCCAUCGCCUUACCUCAAGCAGCCUGGCCCCAUCCCCAACUCCUGCCAGUUCUAGCCCAGCCUCCUCACGCAAUAUGGGCUCCUGCCUACUGCCCAAUUCACUCAGCCUAUCAGGGAGCAGCUGUUCACUCCUGUCCUCAGGGGAUAAGUCAGAGGGUGUCAUGGUGAUUGGGAAAGGUCUACUAGGAACUGGACCUCGGAUCCCCUGUAUCAGGACCCGAUUGCAGACCUGCCCGAGGAGAGUUCCCGCCAGGAGGGGUCCCGGAUUCCCCAGGCUAGGCCCAGGUUGGGCCGGGGCUCACCGCCGACUCGCAGAGGGAUGAGAGGCUCUUCAGGCCCCACAUCCCCUAUCCUCCGGACCAGGGAGAGCAGUGAGCCGGAGCCGGGACCCCGCUUUGCACCAGGGCUGCCUCAGGCUGGGCCCCCACGGCCCCACUCUGCCCCUGCCAUUUCUCCUAUUUCCUGUAGUCUAUCUGACUCCCAGUCUCGGACUUGUUACAGCAGGGGGCCCUUGGGCCAACCUGAGGUUUGUUUUGUCACUAAAUCUCCCCCAUUCACUGUUUCUCCUCGGGUCUGAUGCCUUGACCUUCAUGCCCAGGAUACAGCCACAAGAUGGGGAACACAGUGAGAAAUGUGCUAGUUCCCUCCCUCAGCUGCUGAUUCCAUGUGACAACUAUAACUCCUUGGAAUGCCACCCACACUGUUCUGAGGCAUCGCAAAGCAUCACCUUGAGACAGGACAAAGCAGGGAAUGUGCCACGCCUUCCCUCCCUCCACAGCACAAGAUUUUGGGACCACAAAAAAAAAAAUCUAUAUUUUUAUAUCGGGGGGAGGGAGUAGAAAAGAAAGCAGCCCCUAUACUGGGCCCUACUCAGUGGCAGCUUCUUGUUCCGUAGGGUUAAGGAAGACUUUGAGGAAAUAAAAGUUGUUUGGAAAAAUCCA